rnacentral:rRNA from 1 species
GUGUCAGUCGCCGCGGUAAUACGGAGGGUGCAAGCGUUAAUCGGAAUUACUGGGCGUAAAGCGCGCGUAGGCGGCUAAGUAAGCUAGAUGUGAAAUCCCCGGGCUCAACCUGGGAACUGCCUUUGUGACUGCAUAGCUAGAGUACGGUAGAGGGGGAUGGAAUUCCGCGUGUAGCAGUGAAAUGCGUAGAUAUGCGGAGGAACACCGAUGGCGAAGGCAAUCCCCUGGACCUGUACUGACGCUCAUGCACGAAAGCGUGGGGAGCAAACAGGAUUAGAAACCCGCGUAGUCC